rnacentral:lncRNA from 1 species
AACUUGUCUCCUGCAGUUCUGGUGGAACCUUGCCCUGCCGUGCUCCCCAGCCACUAGAACAGGGUCUCUUCAUGCACUCUGCCAACCGACAGGGCUAGAAGCUGCCCGUCUUUGAUAAGCCUCAGAUUACCCAUCCUCCUCCAGAAGCAAGAGCGGGAGCAAAUGUGUGUGUGUGGGUCCCACUGGGUGUGGAGGCAAGUGCCCUGUAAUUCUGCAGCUCAUCUCCUCUGCCGUGGCCUGAUUCUAUGGGUCGGACCUCUACCUGCUUCCUCCCACAGGGCUGGAAGCCCAGACAUGGUCUACCCCACUUUCCUUGCCAGAUCCUCUGGCCUCUCUUCCCAGCCCAGGACCUGAAUUGCCUAGAUCGCAGCUCCCAGAAGGAGAGAGCUGCAGAGACGUCAGAUGGAGGCCAUAGAGUGAGGAUGCCAGGAUGCCCAGGACCUCAGUUUGAAAACCACUGAGCUGCCAAUCCCACCUCCUGAUUUUACAGAUGCUGAAUGUAAGAGGAGAACUUGGUAGCUGACACAAAGCUCCAUCCAGGAUCCAGUCCCUUCUCCACGAGAUUCAGCAUCAGUCAGCAGUGAUCCCAUGACCACUGGGAACCAAACGCUGUCCUAGGCCUUCCUUGUGCUCCCUCUCCAUCUCCAGCCAAAGUGGGUCGAGCUGAGGGACAGGGAGGUGAUCUGGAAAGAGCAAGUGCAACUCUCUGCUCUGCCGUGUAUCAGCUGUCUGUUUAAUCACAUCCUCAGAACCUCAACUUCUUCACCUAUAAAAUGUGAAUAAAUAGAACAGACCUUGAGAGACCCAAGUGAAGCUUCAAGGAGAGAGGGCAGCGCAUCUACAAAAUCAGCCCAGGGCCUGCCCGCUGAGCACUUCCUGUCGGCUUGCUUCUCUUCCACUUUCUCUGAGCCUCAUUCCUCUGGGACCCCAUGACCCCUGUCGUGGCUCUGCCCUCAAAAACCCCUCUCAUCUCUCGGGGAAUCAGAGUGGAGUCAGAAGAAAGAGGCUUAAUUGAGAAGGUUUUUCUGGUUUCUCAAAAGACCACGAUUCUGGGGAAGAGAGGCUCAGGAUGGGUAUGAGAGAGGAAGCCCUCAGGCAUAUAGAAUAUGGCCGCAGAGGGACAGGAGUGUUACCUUGGGGGGGGGCGGAGUCCUGCUUUCCUGGAGGAGAGUGGGCGAGUGGGCACUACUCCAG